AGGUCAUGGUGAGAGAGGUGGGUCAGCAUCUUCCUCCAGGGAAUGCGUGAUGCUCCUCCGACUUGCCUCCUCGAGCUGCUUCUUCAGCUUCACGGUGAUAGCGGUGACGGGCUUGGUGGAGAUGGAGCACUCGUAAAGCCCUGAGUCUGAAGGUUCUGGGUUCCUGAGCACGAGAACCCAGUCGCCGGUGCUCUGUUCCCUGUGCGCUGAGAACCUGGCGUCGUUCGUGAAGGUGAAGGAGCCGACUGUUAGCACGUGAAGGUCCCUGUGUCUGAUCCAUGAUACCUGUGCGAAGAGGGAAACAGAUGGAGAGGUGUGAGAUGAGACGACCAGAAGGAAAAUGGGACACGUGAAUGACCUUUGACCCAGCAUGGCGGAGGUCAGGUAGCGGGCGGUCAGGUGGAAGCUUCGAGGGCAGGUGUUACAG